rnacentral:misc_RNA from 1 species
AGAAUGCGCUACGCCGGCCGCCUGACACUGUCUGCGCAUCAUAGCACGCAUCCACCCAUACACAUACACACAUACGAACUCGUACACUCAAAAGACGCCCCCCCUCUCUCUCCCCACUCUCCCCCUUCCCGUCCGCAUCUCUCUUAGUUGCCCUUCCUUGUGUCUUUGUAGAGGGGUGCGCAAGCACGAAGCGCGCCGUUGAUUCCUUGUUGGUGCGCAUCAUGCGGUGACGGUGAGUGCGCAGAGACGAUGGACACGCAGGGAAUCUGCGCCAUCUCGGAGUACGUCGAACGGGGCCAUGACAGCGGCGUCGUGUGGGCGUGGUGCGCAGCGAGCCCUGCAGCGUUCGCGGCCGUGAUAAGCUCCCCCUCCCGCACGCGGCAGGCCGCUCACGAGAGAAGUGUACACUACCUUCCCUCCUACGAGCAGAAGAGCGGCUGCGUGUGCACUGUACGGGUGGACCGCAUGGGCAUCACUCUCAACGAGUUUCACCACCGCGUGCCGCCGUGGCUCGUGACGUGGCACACACAGCUACUUUUCCGCCUCUUCGGGCCCGCGGGUGUGGCGGUGCACGUGACGGACCUAGACAGCCUCGUGCUGGACUCGCUGCUGUCCGCCUGGGAAGGCACGCCCGUGCAGGUAACCGCCUUGACGUCGCGGCAUCGUCUCAGCACCUGCGUCUCAGCCCACAGGCGCAGCACUGGCCGCGUCUUUUCUGCCCUUUCGGGGCUGCAGGACCUUGUUCUACUGCCUUCUCCGAGCGUGCAUGGCUCUCUGGCUGUGGCUAAGUACGCGCCUCUCUUGCGCCGCGUCACGGCGAGUAAGUGUUGUGUGGAGUGCUUGAAACCGCUUAGUCAGCUCCAGCACCUGCAGGAGGUGCAGCUGUCCCAGACACUGAUCCGCGACGCGGAGCUCCGCAUUUUGGCGCAGCUUCCUCUCCUUACCACCCUUGACGUGUCUUCCUGUCCACACUUGUCCAGUCUUGAGCCCCUCGCCUGUGCCGCCUCCCUUCGAAUACUGCGCGCUUCCAGCUGCGAGCGGCUCAUGCUCGUGGCACAGCUCGGCACCCUCGCGACGCUGCGGAUAGUGGACCUGUCGGGCAACGUGUUUCUCCCCACUGAGUUCGCGACGUUCAUAACGCAGCCCACCUUGCACCUCCAAACCGGCUACUUUGCGCACAUGCGCUGGCCUCGUGACGACCCGCCGCCGACGCAGGUGCUGGGCUCCGUCAAGCACCUCCACCUCUCCUACGGCACGGUGCCAAACAUUCGCUGGCUGUGCGGCGCGCACAGCCUGGAGCAGCUCUGCCUGGACCACACAAACGUAACGGCCGUCGAAAUGGCGGUUCUGGUGCAGCACACACCGCUCCUGUCUGUCCUAUCACUUUCGUACUGCGAGCACCUGCACACAAACCUGGACUUUACCCGUUCGCUGCGCUUCCUCGCGACGCUCACCAUAACACGCAGCAGCCUACCUUAUCCUUUCCCAGAGCUCGUAGAGCUGCAGCAGUCCCUGUCGCUGACGCUCUCCUGAAGCGCCGCGGCGGAGUUUGGGCCAUGCUGCGCAUGGCAGAUCCUAGCGACGAUUUUGCUGGAACGUGCGCAGGCACGGGCUUGCUGAUCUCUCAGCGCACCAUCAAGGCCCUUACGCGGGUCGUUUCCCAAAGGCGUUCUUCCUUCCUCUUGCACUCUGGAUGAGCGCAACGACGGCGCGACACUCGUCUGCUGUUCUGACGUCAACUCAGCGUCGCGUACGGACCCGCUGAAGAGCUGCAGCGGGUUUGUUUUUGCUUCGUCGUCGUCGCAGACGCAAGCGGCUGAGCUGACAUGACCGUGCGCCGCCGCAUCUCG